GAUGAACGCUGGCGGCGUGCUUAACACAUGCAAGUCGAACGAUGAAGCCCGGUGCUUGCACCGGGUGGAUUAGUGGCGAACGGGUGAGUAUCACGUGAGUAACCUGCCCUUGACUCUGGGAUAAGCCUGGGAAACUGGGUCUAAUACCGGAUACGACCAGUCACCGCAUGGUGUGCUGGUGGAAAGCUUUAGCGGUUUUGGAUGGACUCGCGGCCUAUCAGCUAGACGGUGAGGUAAUGGCUCACCGUGGCGAUGACGGGUAGCCGGCCUGAGAGGGUGACCGGCCACACUGGGACUGAGACACGGCCCAGACUCCUACGGGAGGCAGCAGUGGGGAAUAUUGCACAAUGGGCGAAAGCCUGAUGCAGCGACGCCGCGUGUGGGAUGACGGCCUUCGGGUUGUAAACCACUUUCAGCAGGGAAGAAGCUUUUUGUGACGGUACCUGCAGAAGAAGCGCCGGCUAACUACGUGCCAGCAGCCGCGGUAAUACGUAGGGCGCGAGCGUUAUCCGGAAUUAUUGGGCGUAAAGAGCUCGUAGGCGGUUUGUCGCGUCUGCUGUGAAAGCCCGGGGCUUAACCCCGGGUGUGCAGUGGGUACGGGCAGGCUAGAGUGCAGUAGGGGAGACUGGAAUUCCUGGUGUAGCGGUGAAAUGCGCAGAUAUCAGGAGGAACACCGAUGGCGAAGGCAGGUCUCUGGGCUGUUACUGACGCUGAGGAGCGAAAGCAUGGGGAGCGAACAGGAUUAGAUACCCUGGUAGUCCAUGCCGUAAACGUUGGGCACUAGGUGUGGGGGACAUUCCACGUUUUCCGCGCCGUAGCUAACGCAUUAAGUGCCCCGCCUGGGGAGUACGGCCGCAAGGCUAAAACUCAAAGGA
rnacentral:rRNA from 1 species